rnacentral:piRNA from 1 species
AUGGAGAUGACUUGGAUGGAUGUCCCU